rnacentral:rRNA from 1 species
UACGUAGGGUGCAAGCGUUAAUCGGAAUUACUGGGCGUAAAGCGUGCGCAGGCGGCUUUGCAAGACAGAUGUGAAAUCCCCGGGCUUAACCUGGGAACUGCAUUUGUGACUGCAUGGCUAGAGUGCGGCAGAGGGGGAUGGAAUUCCGGCGUGUAGCAGUGAAAUGCGUAGAUAUGCGGAGGAACACCGAUGGCGAAGGCAAUCCCUGGGCCUGCACUGACGCUCGAUGACACGAAAGCCGUGGGGAGCAAACAGG